rnacentral:rRNA from 1 species
CCUACGGGCGGCAGCAGUAGGGAAUCUUCCACAAUGGGCGAAAGCCUGAUGGAGCAACGCCGCGUGGGUGAAGAAGGUCUUCGGAUCGUAAAACCCUGUUGUUAGAGAAGAAAGUGCGUGAGAGUAACUGUUCACGUUUCGACGGUAUCUAACCAGAAAGCCACGGCUAACUACGGGCCAGCAGCCGCGGUAAUACGUAGGUGGCAAGCGUUAUCCGGAUUUAUUGGGCGUAAAGGGAACGCAGGCGGUCUUUUAAGUCUGAUGGGAAAGCCUUCGGCUUAACCGGAGUAGUGCAUUGGAAACUGGGAGACUUGAGUGCAGAAGAGGAGAGUGGAACUCCAUGUGUAGCGGUGAAAUGCGUAGAUAUAUGGAAGAACACCAGUGGCGAAAGCGGCUCUCUGGUCUGUAACUGACGCUGAGGUUCGAAAGCGUGGGUAGCAAACAGGAUUAGAUACCCGGGUAGUC